CUGUGGGAGGCACCCACCAAAGCCAGGGCCCCGUUUACACCACUCACCUGCUUCCACUCUUCCUGGCGAGUCCAGCACGGCCCGUCCAAAUCCGCUAAGGAGACCAUGCUAGAGUAGGUGAGCUCCUCGUCCUCCGACUCACUGAUGUCCACCAGCCGGCGGCACCACUCGAUUUGCUCCUGCACCGUCUGCCGGACCCACCUGGAGAACUCCAGCCUGUUGGCCAUGCUGGGAGCCUGCGCUGGUCGGGGCUGCGAGGGUAAACUGGGCGUUGCUUCGUUCCCUGUAGGGUCAGCCUCCGCGUUGCUCUCCCCGUUUACCUCCUGUAUUUCCACGUUCCUGUUUGACUCCUUCCUUUUCUUCCCCCUCAAGACAGAAAUAAACUGAAAGAGGUAGGAGAGGAAACAGAGAUGGUCAAACCGCUUGGAAAGCUGGAUCUCUAGCUCUAACAUCUUCCACUGGCAAUCUGUCAAGUGACACGGGCCUCUGAAACUCAAUUCCCUUUGCUGCCAUCAAAUGGUGUUUAAUUGUAGGAGGUUACUAGUGCCACCCUCUCAGAUGUACCAUUCUUGGUUUACAGCUGGGGCCACACAUUCAUCCUGACUACGGAUCCAUCUCUUCUUCAUUGACUUUGUACUGCUCAGACAUUCAUGAAAGACAGAUUACAUGGAUUUAAUCUGCAAUGGGAACUAGGCAGCAGAAUGAGGGAAAGAUUAAUCGCUAAAGCAGGUGCUUGUCAUUAGAUUUGGUGAAGGGAAGUACUAUUUGUCAACUAAAAAGAGGCAGACACAAGCUAAUGACUUGUCACAAUCCCUCUAGAAAUCUAGCGGGGGGGGGGAAAAAAAAAGUUAAACGAGCUAAAGAACUAUGGGACAAAACCCUGUCAUUGCUAUGUGUUUACUGUCAGCACCAGCACAUGUUUACCCAGUGCCAUUGUCCACCACUUACGUGGCUAUAACCAAUCCUCUCAAGUUCCAGAAAUUGACAACUCUUUUUCCCUUCACACCUCCUACACACACCCUAUUAAACCAAAGCAGCGCACCCCGAGCCUGUACCUGAACACACUUUUUGGCUAGGAAGACCAUCCUUUACAUUUGUCAACAGCCAAGCUGACACACAGGAAUAAGCUCUCCAACCACAAAUCAGCAACACUGUUGUCUCUAGGAAAUAAAACCUACUUUGUUCCUUUGAAUUUUCUCCAGCAUGUCCAGGUCAGUGGUAUCAGAGACGCCUCCAUGUAUAAUAAGGACUUUCUGAUCAAUCAGGGUGGCCAGGGGUAGCCAGCAGAAGACAUUCUGAAUCAUCUUCAAGAUUUUCUUCCCAUGCACCUAGGAGGACAGGGCAGAAAGGAAAAGAUGAAGCAUCGAACCUUCAAAGCCUGUCUCGUGCUGAAGGAGACACAAACAGGCCUACCUUGUAUUUCUGCAUGACUUCCUUGGCGAAACCAUACCUGUAGGAACAGAAGAAAGGAAGUUCAGUGAGAUUUUGCAGCGACAGCAUUGACAUUGUGAUCAGCCCCACACAGAACCCAUACCGUAAGUUGACCAUGUGAUCUUCAUGGUUCCCACGGUUGAGAUGAACCUCUUUUGGAUAGAUCAAGAGGAAGGUAAAGAGGAUGAUAAGGAUCUCGAGGGACUGUUUGCCUCUGUCUACAAAGUCCCCAUUGAACACGUAGGACUUGGAAGGGGAAGGAAGGCCAUUCUGCAAAAAACAAGGGACAGGCAGAUGUUACUAGAGAGGCCUCCCCAUGACAUGCAAAUACACCUCCCCACUAGCUGCGCACUCACGCUUACCCCAAGUUACCUUCUACAAUAGAUCCUAACUCUUAUUUUUAUCCUGUAGGCUCCCAGUGGUAAAUGCACUGAAAAGUGAAAACGGAGUCAGGAGGUGGAGCCACUGGUGUCAGGACUUAUAAAAAUAUCCAUUAGCACUUGCCAAAUGCACAUGUGUACCAUAACAGUUCUCACAGAUUUAAAAGUCAGCAAGAGAAUAAGCUUUUGCUUUGUGAAGCCAUUUAAAACUGAUCAAAAUAGCUGGACAAUUACAUCUCAAGGGCCCAGUUUUGCAAAUGCUUCUCAGCAUGACCCAUGUGAUACCUCUUACAAUGCCUGGGCAGUCUCACCAAGUAUGGAGCCUACCUUAUAAAAUAUGAGGAACAAGUCAUCCAGCUGGCCAUGCAAAUCUCCUAACAGGCACAAAAAGACAAGUCACAGUAUGCUUACUUUUAACUUAAAAAGACACCAAUAAAUAACUUUCUAUAAAGUAUCUCUAUAAAUUUAUGACCACUGAAAUGCUUCAGGAAUUUCAAGGUCCAGAGUAAAGUAAUACAUUCCUGACGCUGAGGCAGCAUGCCCAGAGCAAAAGGACAUGAUGUAAAGGCUUGAGCUGAAGUCUGAGUGAGAACAAACUGCUUCAGAAGCUUUGUUCAUCUCUCUUAUGAUGACAUAAGAUGGCACAAGAAAUUGUUUGCCUUUGAUCAUUACACAGGAGAAGGGUUUGCAUACAAAAUAAUCAAACUAAAUUUUCAUUUAACGUGUUAUUGACUGCACACAAACUUCUGUGCAUAAUACAUGGUUUUCAGAAAUAUCUCGAAGUUUUAACAUUAGUCUUAGAGUAGGAAAAUAACGGUGAAAAGUUUUGUCUCUUUCAAAUUUAUCUGAUACAACUCAAAGACUUGUGAGUAUCCUGGAUCUGAAUGCACACACUGCCAAUUAUGAAGACUCAACCAAAACAGCUCCAGGACUUGGUUGCUUAAAUAAUUCCAGGGAACAGAGCAGGACAAAAAAUGAGCCUUGAGGCCAGUCCUUGACUGGGUGCAGUUUCUGUGCUUUGGAACAGGGAUCCCAAGUUCUGGGUGACAGAACAAAGACAAAAUUGAAUCCAGUUGAAAAAAAUCUCAAUUUAUGUGGUAAUGUGUAACAAUUUUAACAGCCACGGGCUAUCAUUAGCACCCUUCAUUUUAUACUAAGACAAAUGUAUAUCCUUAUCCUUUCCUUUCAUACCUCCUCCUCUCUUUGCAUUUUUAGAAUCGCCAUGACAACACUGCUGCUACAGCAGGCUAUGGCAAGCUAAACGCUGCCAUCAAGGGGCAGUUAUCAAACCAUCCUAUUCCAGACCAAGCAGAAAUGAGGCCACAAUGGAGAAUUGCUCCCUCCAAUGUUCAGGCCAGUCUCGACAGCAGCUCAAAUACAGCACCGUAAGGUAUUUUACCAGAUAUUUUAAAGGCAGCCCCAGCUGCCUCUCAACACACAUUUUACGUACAGACUGCAUUUCUAUUCCACAUUUGAACAGUACCAAUUUAUUUCUCUUCCAUCCCUUCCACCUAAGCACUCUCCCUCCAGAGACUCCAAAGACCCUCCAAAGGGUGCAGUGCCCUCCCACCCAGACGUACCGCACACGGUGACCUCCUCGCUAUAGCAGGUGGAGACGUGACUGAUGUUUGGCAACUGCUUGAGGUGCUUCCUGGUCUCAUGCAGAAGGUUUAAGACAUAGCGAGCGUGGAGCUGCUACUAGGAGAAAGCGAAGGAAUUAAAGCUCUGAGCAGCAACACAGCUGCCUGCAAAGGCCCCAAGGACCCAUCACAACAGUCAGAGCUGACCUACAGGCUUGCAAACAAGACAGCACAAAUACCGGGCAAAGGCAGAAUGGAAGAGUCUUGUCCAAAGCAGCACUGCCUUGGCAUCAACACAGCUGGCAGCAAAAUCCAAAAGCCCUGUGGUCAAAGCUAUAUCUGCUAUGCAACUCCAUCCCCUAGAGCAGAAGCUGUAGCCUGGCAUCACAGGAGGUGCAGAGCAUGGAAGAGCUAUUGCUGUUGAGCAGACGGGGAACUGAGUCACAGUGAAGUCAUGGGCAAGAAGGUUGCCCUGUGUGGAAUCGAGAGUCAGAUUCAAUGACCCACAUGGAUCCCUUCCAACUCAGGAUACUCCAUAAUUCUGUAAUUGAAUUAGCAGGAUACAGGAUGCGACCAAGAAAACCCAGCCACAAGCAAGACAAAUG